rnacentral:rRNA from 1 species
GCGAGUGAAGCGGCAAAAGCUCAAAUUUGAAAUCUGGCGUAUUCUACGUCCGAGUUGUAAUUUGAAGAAGGAUACUUUGGGGUUGGCUCUUGUCUAUGUUUCUUGGAACAGAACGUCACAGAGGGUGAGAAUCCCGUGCGAUGAGAAGCCCGAUUCCGUGUAAAGUGCCUUCGAAGAGUCGAGUUGUUUGGGAAUGCAGCUCUAAGUGGGUGGUAAAUUCCAUCUAAAGCUAAAUAUUGGCGAGAGACCGAUAGCGAACAAGUACAGUGAUGGAAAGAUGAAAAGAACUUUGAAAAGAGAGUGAAAAAGUACGUGAAAUUGUUGAAAGGGAAGGGCUUGAGAUCAGACUUGGUAUUUUGUAUGUCUUGCUUUCGGGUGGGGCCGCUGCAGUUUACUGGGCCAGCAUCGGUUCGGGUGGUAGGACAAUUGCGGAGGAACGUGGCACUGCUUCGGUGGUGUGUUAUAGCCUUUGUAGAUACUGCCUGCCUGGACUGAGGACUGCGUCUUUUGACUAGGAUGCUGGCAUAAUGAUCUUAAGUCGCCC